rnacentral:rRNA from 1 species
GGCCCAGAUUCCUACGGGAGGCAGCAGUGGGGAAUAUUGCACAAUGGGCGAAAGCCUGAUGCAGCAACGCCGCGUGAGGGACGACGGCCUUCGGGUUGUAAACCUCUUUUAGCAGGGAAGAAGCGAAAGUGACGGUACCUGCAGAAAAAGCGCCGGCUAACUACGUGCCAGCAGCCGCGGUAAUACGUAGGGCGCAAGCGUUAUCCGGAAUUAUUGGGCGUAAAGAGCUCGUAGGCGGUUUGUCGCGUCUGCUGUGAAAUCCCGAGGCUCAACCUCGGGUCUGCAGUGGGUACGGGCAGACUAGAGUGCGGUAGGGGAGAUUGGAAUUCCUGGUGUAGCGGUGGAAUGCGCAGAUAUCAGGAGGAACACCGAUGGCGAAGGCAGAUCUCUGGGCCGUAACUGACGCUGAGGAGCGAAAGGGUGGGGAGCAAACAGGCUUAGAUACCCUGGUAGUCCACCCCGUAAACGUUGGGAACUAGUUGUGGGGUCCAUUCCACGGAUUCCGUGACGCAGCUAACGCAUUAAGUUCCCCGCCUGGGGAGUACGGCCGCAAGGCUAAAACUCAAAGGAAUUGACGGGGACCCGCACAAGCGGCGGAGCAUGCGGAUUAAUUCGAUGCAACGCGAAGAACCUUACCAAGGCUUGACAUAUACGAGAACGGGCCAGAAAUGGUCAACUCUUUGGACACUCGUAAACAGGUGGUGCAUGGUUGUCGUCAGCUCGUGUCGUGAGAUGUUGGGUUAAGUCCCGCAACGAGCGCAACCCUCGUUCUAUGUUGCCAGCACGUAAUGGUGGGGACUCAUGGGAUACUGCCGGGGUCAACUCGGAGGAAGGUGGGGAUGACGUCAAAUCAUCAUGCCCCUUAUGUCUUGGGCUUCACGCAUGCUACAAUGGCCGGUACAAAGGGCUGCAAUACCGUAAGGUGGAGCGAAUCCCAAAAAGCCGGUCCCAGUUCGGAUUGAGGUCUGCAACUCGACCUCAUGAAGUCGGAGUCGCUAGUAAUCGCAGAUCAGCAACGCUGCGGUGAAUACGUUCCCGGGUCUUGUACACACCGCCCGUCAAGUCAUGAAAGUCGGUAACACCUGAAGCCGGUGGCCCAACCC